rnacentral:rRNA from 1 species
UACGUAGGGACCGAGCGUUGUCCGGAAUCAUUGGGCGUAAAGAGCGUGUAGGCGGCCAACUAAGUCCUGCGUGAAAUCUCGGGGCUCAACCCCGAGCGGUCGUGGGAAACUGGUUGGCUAGAGUGCGGGAGAGGAGAGUGGAAUUCCUGGUGUAGCGGUGAAAUGCGCAGAUAUCAGGAGGAACACCAAUGGCGAAGGCAGCUCGCUGGGACGGUACUGACGCUGAGGCGCGAAAGCGUGGGGAGCAAACAGG